ACCCAGCUAGUAUGGUGGUUAUGUACCUCGGCUUGUAACCGAGUGGGUUUGGGUUCGAAUCCCCAGUAAGAUA